rnacentral:tRNA from 1 species
GCCAGAGAUGUGGCUCAGUGGAUAGAGUGCUGCCCUAGCAUGUGGGAAACUCUGGGUUCAAUCCCCAACAUCUGGCA